AGAUCGAAGGACAGCCGAAAGCGGUUCGGGGAGCGAAACUUGCGAUCCAGCUCGCUCUCUGCAAACGAACAACACGGUUACAGAAAGACUGCUUAGAGAUUCAGAGGAGACGAUCCUCUAAAAUUUCCUGUUCGUCGUGCCGCUGCGAAUUUAUCACAGACAUGUUUAUUAUCUUACGACAUUUAUAUUAAUAAAGAACGCCAUCGGAAUACACACGAAUUUACACGCACGCACGUACGCGAUAAAUUUUACGAUGCGCAAACUGCACGUAUAAUUUAAGUUACGCUUCUACGAAAAUAGCUAACAACGUUAAGUGUGUGACGCAGUUAUUCCUUGAACGACUCGAAAACAGUGGAUGCAAUCAUAAGCGCAGUUGUAACACGUAUGUAAAUUUCGUAAGCGACGUAGUUCGGCUCGUACACACACUCACUCGCGUGCAUCAGUUGAGCACGCUACAUACGUCAACGAAGAAUCUAGCAAUUUCUCUAGAGGCAAGUAAUAAGAUAUCGGAGAAUUUAAGCUAAAUCUCCAAAUUAAUCAUUGUUUUAUACAAUCGAAUUAAGAAAUUUUUCUCUAGAGAUUUUAUACAUGUUGACAAUACGUAUUUUAUUGUCUCUGCGUAUAUUGAUAGAUAAACGAUAAAUCAAACUUUAAACUCGGAAUUGAAGAUAAUCAGGUUCUUAGUGAAAGUAUCAACCGCAACGUAACUGCUUCAAUUUACGUUAAUGUUGGAAAAGAAACAAUAAUCACGAGAAGAUUAUUCCAACUUGUGAUUAUAUCUCUACGGAGAAGAAUCUCUUUUUCUCUUCAGAAGCUCCAGGAGCUUUUCACGCCCGAUGGCCUAUUUACUGUUUGAAAAUGUUUUAAUUUGCAAAUGAGUUCAUGUAUCACGGCCAAAGAAGAGAUUGGAUCUCGGGACGUUUGUCGGCAAGUAUUUCUCGUUACAUGAAAGCAUGGAAUCAAUCUCUGAUUAUAGCAAAAGCUCCCUCUCAAGUACAGUCUGUUCUUUAUAGCUGGUGCAAUAAACGCGAUAGACUAAAAUGAAAAUAAUAUAUUGGCAUAAAAUUAAUUUCUCAUAUUUUAAAUUUGUAACAAUUUAUCACAAUUAAAGUGAUUAUCGAG